UCCCUGGUGGCUCAGAUGGUAAAGAAUCUGCCUGCAAUGCAGGAGAUCUGGGUUCGAUCCCUGGGUCGGGAA
rnacentral:tRNA from 1 species